rnacentral:lncRNA from 10 species
GCAGCAACUUGGAUGGAGCUGGAGACCAUUAUUCUAAGUGAAGUAACUCAGAAAUAGAAAACCAAACACCAUAUGUUCUCACUUUUAAGUGGGAGCUAAGCUAUGGGUAUGCGAAGGCAUACAGAACGGUAUAAUGGACACUGGAGAGUCAAAAGCAGCCGACUUGGAGGGGAUGAGGAAUAAUAUUGGGUAUGAUGCACACUGUUCAGAUCAGGAAAUCCUGAGAGUUGUCAUGAAACCCUCUGCCACAUUUCCAAUAUUUUAUUAGUAGGGAAAUAGUGAAAAUGAAUGGAUCUGACAGACACAAGCAAUUGAGAGUAUGGCCGAAAGAAAAAAAAUCCACUGAACAUCAUGCAAUUAGAAGUGCCAUUAGGAAAGGGGUCAAUGGAUUGGCUGGAGAAAGCUGGAAGCUUGAAAUGACUGUCUACAAGGUGAUCAAGAACACAGCACCUGGAUGAAGGGAGGAGCAAGAGGAAAGGUGGUGACAGUAAGCAAGGAGAGG